rnacentral:rRNA from 1 species
GAGGAAUAUUGGUCAAUGGACGGAAGUCUGAACCAGCCAAGUAGCGUGCAGGAUGACGGCCCUAUGGGUUGUAAACUGCUUUUGUAUGGGGAUAAAGUUAGGGACGUGUCCCUAUUUGCAGGUACCAUACGAAUAAGGACCGGCUAAUUCCGUGCCAGCAGCCGCGGUAAUACGGAAGGCCCAGGCGUUAUCCGGAUUUAUUGGGUUUAAAGGGAGCGUAGGCUGGAGAUUAAGUGUGUUGUGAAAUGUAGACGCUCAACGUCUGACUUGCAGCGCAUACUGGUUUCCUUGAGUACGCACAACGUUGGCGGAAUUCGUCGUGUAGCGGUGAAAUGCUUAGAUAUGACGAAGGACUCCGAUUGCGAAGGCAGCUGACGGGAGCGCAACUGACGCUGAAGCUCGAAGGUGCGGGUAUCGAACAGGAUUAGAUACCCUGGUAGUCCGCACAGUAAACGAUGGAUGCCCGCUGUUGGUACCUGGUAUCAGCGGCUAAGCGAAAGCAUUAAGCAUCCCACCUGGGGAGUACGCCGGCAACGGUG